AACCUUGCUGACGAUUUCAAGAGUUCGCCACUGAUGACGGAGGGAUAUACCCCCCUUAAUCUUGCUGUCUCCAAACAUGAUGAGGAGAUGGUAGAGUUUCUUCACAAAAAAGGAACUGAAAAUCAGCGUGAAAGUAAGCUACUGGCAGAAGACACGGGGAGUGAAAACACGGAAGACUCUUCUGCAGGUGGUGUAGCAGACAAGGCAC